UUAGAUUUUAGAUUUUGAGUAUGUGGAUGGAUGUAAUCCCUUUUUCCAUGAAUUACAUGACUUCACUUCAUUACUCUUUGAUCCUUUUCGCUUCAUUUUCUUUUUCUUUCCUCUGUUUGAAUCCAAAAAAAGGGUUUUUGUUGUUGUUGUUGUUGUCUUUUUGAUGAAGCUGAGUGCCAAAGUUUUAUAACUUGGGCCUAAAGAAAUAAGAUUAAAUGCUGCCUCACUAAAUAGAUAGAAUUAAAGAGAAAUUGGCCUCAUUGGUUUUUUCAUAUUUCUCUUCUGUUUUGCAUUUCCUUUUAAUCAGUGCCUCAUAAUAAUAAUGUGGUAGAAUUUGGAUGGUUUUUUUCUUGCACAAAUCAACAAAUCCACAAUAACAAACAAAAUUGGUUCAGAUUCAUCGGCCCCAAUUUAUUAAAUCAAUUUUAUUAACAUCAUAAAACAGGCAAUUAAACAAUUCCCAAUCAUGGAUCCGCAAACAUGGUCCUUGCGGAUCGGAUCAUAGAAAAAAACUCUCUUUUCUGUUUACUUUUUCCGGCUCUAUUGCAACCGCGGAUUUUAUGCAAUCGAUCGGAUCGUAUAGAUAUCCCUUCAACACGACAUAGGUUCCCUUCAACACCACAUAGGUCAUUGAAAGAAUCUUGGACACCCGCCAAAUCACGAAAUAUUUUUAAAGUUGAUUUACGUUGCUUACAUGGAAAAAGAAUUGGCCUCCCUCAGGACUGGAGUUUUUGUUUUUUGGGGUACACAGAACUGAAAUUUUCGCCCUCAA
rnacentral:lncRNA from 1 species